rnacentral:rRNA from 1 species
CUCCUUGCGAGCCUACGUUUCUAAGCUAGUUGGCUUGGUAUUGGCUUACCAAGGCUAUGAUCUAUAGCUGGUCUGAGAGGACGAUCAGCCACACUGGAACUGAGAUACGGUCCAGACUCCUACGGGAGGCAGCAGUGGGGAAUAUUGGACAAUGGGCGAAAGCCUGAUCCAGCUAUGCCGCGUGAGUGAAGAAGGCCUUCGGGUUGUAAAACUCUUUCAAUAGGGAAGAUAAUGACGGUAC